UUGCUUUGGCAGCACAUAUAAUAAAAUUGGAAGAAUUCAAGAAGAUUAGCAGGACCCCUGUGCAAAAUAUGGCUGGAUAAUUGAUUUAUUAACAUAAAUAU
ensembl:snRNA U6 U6 spliceosomal RNA